CGGGGUGAGUAAUGUCUGGGGAGUCUGCCUGAUGGAGGGGGAUAACUACUGGAAACGGUAGCUAAUACCGCAUAACGUCGCAAGACCAAGAGGGGACCUUCGGGCCUCUUGCCAUCGGAUGUGCCCAGAUGGGAUUAGCUAGUAGGUGGGGUAACGGCUCACCUAGGCGACGAUCCCUAGCUGGUCUGAGAGGAUGACCAGCCACACUGGAACUGAGACACGGUCCAG
rnacentral:rRNA from 1 species